CCGGGAGAGGUGAGAGGUACUACAGGGGUAGGAGCGAAAUCUUGUAAUCCCUGUGGGACCACCUGUGGCGAAGGCGUCUUACCAGAACGGGUUCGACGGUGAGGGACGAAAGCUGGGGGCACGAACCGGAUUAGAUACCCGGGUAGUCCCAGCCGUAAACGAUGCUCGCUAGGUGUCAGGCAUGGCGCGACCGUGUCUGGUGCCGCAGGGAAGCCGUGAAGCGAGCCACCUGGGAAGUACGGCCGCAAGG
rnacentral:rRNA from 1 species